UUCACCAUAGUGGAGGAAUUGGUUCGGCCUGCCGCUGUGGACAUGUGCUGUGAGAUGAUCGGGGAGGCUGCGGCAAAGAAGCUCAAGACCAUCCCGCUCUCAAACGACGCAUCUCCUUUUUCCAAAGAGCUGGAGGAUGAUGCUUGGGGAAAAAACACCUGGGCUACUGCCCUUUAGCCACUGCAUAUAAGCAACUUGAAGAUAAAUGAUGGGACCAACAGGAGAGACACAAAGUAUGGGGAUGCAACCUAUCUGAUUUGCAAGCAUCUGGCAAAAGGGCUUGCUGUCUCAAGAAGGUGUCUUGCAAGGUGAAUCUAGAUGACAGAGUGAGUGAUCUUCCUUUAUUCAGCGUGCACCAGGGAGCCCACGGUGGCCUUCAAACCAAAGGUUUAAGGAAAGACCAACACUGAAAAGGUAAGGGAUCCCCAGGAGCUUUCUGCACUUUGGAGCGCUGUGCACAAGUACUGCUUUGUCUUUGUUCAUGGAUUUAAUAUUUAUGUGUGGUUUGAAGGGAAUGUGUGUCUUAUUUCAUCUUGAAGAGUCAAAGCCAGUCUGGUCUGGUCUGGGAUGUUACAGAGAUGUGGAUAUGAAUACCUAUUGGACAUCUGUUUUCCUACAUGUGAAUCUGAUUUUUCUUUUUAAACAUCUCAAGGCGACAUCAGUGUUGUGUGUUUGCUA